AGUGAACGCUGGCGGUAGGCCUAACACAUGCAAGUCGAACGGCAGCGCAGUAAGAGCUUGCUCUUACGGGUGGCGAGUGGCGGACGGGUGAGGAAUACAUCGGAAUCUACUUUUUCGUGGGGGAUAACGUAGGGAAACUUACGCUAAUACCGCAUACGACCUACGGGUGAAAGCAGGGGAUCUUCGGACCUUGCGCGAUUGAAUGAGCCGAUGUCGGAUUAGCUAGUUGGCGGGGUAAAGGCCCACCAAGGCGACGAUCCGUAGCUGGUCUGAGAGGAUGAUCAGCCACACUGGAACUGAGACACGGUACAGACUCCUACGAGAGGCAGCAGUGGGGAAUAUUGGACAAUGGGCGCAAGCCUGAUACAGCCAUACCGCGUGGGUGAAGAAGGCCUUCGGGUUGUAAAGCCCUUUUGUUGGGAAAGAAAAGCAGCAGGUUAAUACCCCGCUGUUCUGACGGUACCCAAAGAAUAAGCACCGGCUAACUUCGUG
rnacentral:rRNA from 1 species